rnacentral:rRNA from 1 species
GACGAACGCUGGCGGCGCGCCUAACACAUGCAAGUCGAACGAGCGAGAGAGAGCUUGCUUUCUCGAGCGAGUGGCGAACGGGUGAGUAACGCGUGAGGAACCUGCCUCAAAGAGGGGGACAACAGUUGGAAACGACUGCUAAUACCGCAUAAGCCCACGGGUCGGCAUCGACCAGAGGGAAAAGGAGCAAUCCGCUUUGAGAUGGCCUCGCGUCCGAUUAGCUAGUUGGUGAGGUAACGGCCCACCAAGGCGACGAUCGGUAGCCGGACUGAGAGGUUGAACGGCCACAUUGGGACUGAGACACGGCCCAGACUCCUACGGGAGGCAGCAGUGGGGAAUAUUGCACAAUGGGGGAAACCCUGAUGCAGCGACGCCGCGUGGAGGGAGAAGGUCUUCGGAUUGUAAACUCCUGUUGUUGGGGAAGAUAAUGACGGUACCCAACAAGGAAGUGACGGCUAACUACGUGCCAGCAGCCGCGGUAA